GAUGAACGCUGGCGGCGUGCCUAAUACAUGCAAGUCGAGCGAAUGGAUUAAGAGCUUGCUCUUAUGGAGUUAGCGGCGGACGGGUGAGUAACACGUGGGUAACCUGCCCAUAAGACUGGGAUAACUCCGGGAAACCGGGGCUAAUAUCGGAUAACAUUUUGAACCGCAUGGUUCGGGAUUGAAAGGCGGCUUCGGCUGCCACUUAUGGAUGGACCCGCGUCGCAUUAGCUAGUUGGUGAGGUAACGGCUCACCAAGGCAACGAUGCGUAGCCGACCUGAGAGGGUGGUCGGCCACACUGGGACUGAGACACGGCCCAGACUCCUACGGGAGGCAGCAGUAGGGAAUCUUCCGCAAUGGACGAAAGUCUGACGGAGCAACGCCGCGUGAGUGAUGAAGGCUUUCGGGUCGUAAAACUCUGUUGUUAGGGAAGAACAAGUGCUAGUUGAAUAAGCUGGCACCUUGACGGUACCUAACCAGAAAGCCACGGCUAACUACGUGCCAGCCGCCGCAGUAA
rnacentral:rRNA from 1 species